UCUGGAAUCCAAUUUUCUAAAAUAAACCAAAAACCGUUGCUUCUGUUAAUUGGUCACAGGUGUAGGCACUCCCAUCCUGGUGCUGCUAAUGAGCACCUGGCCACUUAUAAAAUAGGACGAAGUGGGCUCUCCCUCAUUCCUGGCCGAGACUGCCUCUUUCUGGGUUCCUGCACCUGUCAGUGCAGCAGGUCGGCUUGUGACUGGAGGAAAGGUGAAAUGGGAACAGAGCGCAUUGCUCCUCCCAGUGAUAUCCCCUGCUGAUUGGGUCUUUGAUGAGGAACCCGCUCCUGCUCGAUACAGGUUUUUGUGGCCUUUGUGGGAGUAAGUUGCUUCAUGGGUCCCUCGUCUGCUCUGCCGGGUCAGCCGCUGAACAGCAGCAUCUCCUCUCCCUUGCGGCCGAUCACAUGGCUGCACAGGCGCUCCUGGGACUUGGAGGCCUUUUGGGACUCGUAUUAUCUACCCCUCCCUAGCUACCUACAGUGACUGACUGGUACUCAAUUGUAAGUUCACCUUUUCUUUUGUUGUAUCACAUUCUGGAUUUGCAUGUGAGUGGGGUGUUGUUUUGUUUCUGUUGGUUGACAAACUCUGUCUGCAAGUGGGCUUGAAGCCCCUAGUGGGUUUAUCCUGUGUUUUAUUUAUUCUGUAACUACUAUUUAUAAUUAAUCUCUUUUAAAUGUGGAACCAUGUCUGCGCUUGGUUUGAGUCCCCAUUUUUAUUAGUGUACCUGGACCGCUCGUGUUGCCACACUUGCAACACGUGACACAAUGUCACGUCUUGCCACAAACCAACAUUAAUUUAUAUGAUAUAUUUUUUGUUGUAAUGUUCACACUAGUGUAAGGUCUAAAAACAGAACACACAAUCACUUGUUUGCAAACCAAUAUUGUACCAGGUAAAUUUGAUGUUUUUAGGUGUCUUAAUAACACAAAUAAAAUCAGGAUCAAACCUAUAUAUUAAACACGCAUUAGUGCUGCAUAAGAAGAAACUUAUGCAAAUAAGUCUACACUUUGCCCAGUGAGUGGGUCCCCCCUUCAUCAAAUUUUCUUUAGCGGAACUCUGAUAUAAACCCAAACAUGAAGGUCUCGCAGUGGUCCCUUUUGUGAUAUUUCACCAGAAAAAGCCCCCUGCUGAACAAGUGAAAGUCUCUGCUCAUGUGUGAAAAUUACAGGGGUUGGUUUUGGCUCAAUGAGUCUCUCUGGGAAUUUAGCGGAUUUAAGGUUACAGCCUCGUCAGGCUGAGAGAAGAGGCGGCAAAGCGACAAUGAAGUCCACUGAGGGGGCAUUUCAAGCAGUCUUCAUCUGAGAUCAAUAAAACAUACAACAGUGGAAGAAGUCCUUAUAGUAUUAAAGUUUGACGUCCAAGCCAACCUUUUCUACAGUUCUGAGGUUUUAAACCCUGCAACCCUUGUGCUUAGGAGUUUGUCACAUCCUCACACUUCAGCCUAACAAAGACAAAAGCUUUAGUCUCUCCCCACCCCCUCUAUUUUUAGCGGCCAGCUUUUUAAAUUAAAGCAGAUCCUUGCUGGAAUAGACUCACUAGUGUUUGUGUGACAUAGUUUUGCCUUCAUAAGUGCAGGUGGUGACUCACUGGGUCACC